AACAAGGCAAGCAGGGAAAGAAAAUGUGCUAGGAGGGAGGAGCGAUUGGCUCAGGGCCCAGGCGCAGACAAACCUGCAGCUGCACCACCUGCUGCUGCAGCUCAACCAACCGAGGGAUCUAAGAAAUCCAAGAAGUAAGACCCAUAUUAAGAGCUCCUGAUAUCCUGGUGGGAAAGUAGUUUUGUUGAGCUGUUAUGGUUUCUGUCGACUUGGACCAUGUUACUUCAUGUCUUAGAUGGAAGAAGUUUUAAAGCAUUGGCACUGUGUAGAAGCAAUUUUCAUUAUUUUGUUUCUGUGAUGUUCUCCUUUCCCUUAAUGUCUUUUUUUAAUUUGAAAUUUUCAUUUCAUUUCUCGAUCAGAUAAGAUAAUUGAUACUAGUGCGGUGGCUGUUCUUCUCUAGUGACCCGCCUGUGUGCAGAUAUUAAAUAGCUCCCCGAACCUUUUCCUAGAAAAAACUGCAACUGAUGUUAACAUACAUUAGGUACGGUACCAAUGACUGAGCUCAAGUGCAGUCUGUAUUUACUUCAUCAGCAAUUGAUGCUAUCGAUUCCUACUAGGGUAGGAAGCAAACUAGAAAAUUCGACUUGCCUUAUCACUCGUCUUUUCUCCUUUCCUCUCCAGUUUAGACGAAUGUGAAGUCUUUACAUUUUUGUAUGGCUUGGCAAAACUCGUACGCAUUGGAGACGGUUGUGGAUAUAUUUUGCUUUUGCUUGCUAAGCCCCUUGGCUUAAACAGUUUAAGCCAUUGAUAGAGGACACGUGGUCAAAAUGCUUAGGCCAGGAUCUCCCUCAGCACUGAGUAAUGUCUUUACUUCAGGUUCUACCUACUCUUUUAACCUGUCAGCAUCUUGUUUGGCAAUUCUUGUGUUUGGUGGGACAUUGGUUGUAGAAUUGCAGUUCAGCUGGAGAUGGGCAAUGUUUGGGCAUCACAUCUAUACCUGUGAAAAAGGAAACGAGGGUUGAGUUUAUGGAGCCACUUAUCUUGCUUCAGGUUCCAUCUCCCAAAUAAAUUUGAUAAAUUUGAUAUCUUUGAUAAAAAAAAU
rnacentral:misc_RNA from 1 species